rnacentral:rRNA from 1 species
UACGUAGGCAGCAAGCGUUGUUCGGAGUUACUGGGCGUAAAAGGGUGUGUAGGCGGCCUGUUAAGUUCCGUGUGAAAUCCUCCCGGCUCAACCGGGAGGGUGCGCGGAAAACUGGCGGGCUAGAGUACGGGAUGGGAGAGUAGAAGUUCCUGGGUGUAGCGGUGAAAUGCGUAGAUAUCAGGAGGAAUACCGGUGGUGUAGACGGCCUCUCUGGACCGUAACUGACGCUGAGACACGAAAGCGUGGGGUAGCAAACAGG